rnacentral:rRNA from 1 species
GACGAACGCUGGCGGCGUGCUUAACACAUGCAAGUCGAACGGAAAGACCCUGCUUUUGUGGGGUGCUCGAGUGGCGAACGGGUGAGUAACACGUAAGUAACCUGCCCUUGACUUUGGGAUAACUUCAGGAAACUGGGGCUAAUACCGGAUAGGAGCUCCUGCUGCAUGGUGGGGGUUGGAAAGUUUCGGCGGUUGGGGAUGGACUCGCGGCUUAUCAGCUUGUUGGUGGGGUAGUGGCUUACCAAGGCUUUGACGGGUAGCCGGCCUGAGAGGGUGACCGGCCACAUUGGGACUGAGAUACGGCCCAGACUCCUACGGGAGGCAGCAGUGGGGAAUAUUGCACAAUGGGCGGAAGCCUGAUGCAGCAACGCCGCGUGCGGGAUGACGGCCUUCGGGUUGUAAACCGCUUUCGCCUGUGACGAAGCGUGAGUGACGGUAAUGGGUAAAGAAGCACCGGCUAACUACGUG